rnacentral:rRNA from 1 species
ACGGAAGGCAGCAGUGGGGGAUAUUGCACAAUGGGGGAAACCCUGAUGCAGCGACGCCGCGUGAGUGAAGAAGUAUUUCGGUAUGUAAAGCUCUAUCAGCAGGAAAGAUAAUGACGGUACCUGACUAAGAAGCACCGGCUAAAUACGUGCCAGCAGCCGCGGUAAUACGUAUGGUGCAAGCGUUAUCCGGAUUUACUGGGUGUAAAGGGUGUGUAGGCGGCAAGGCAAGUCAGAAGUGAAAUGCCGGGGCUCAACUCCGGAGCUGCUUUUGAAACUGCCAUGCUGGAGUGCAGGAGAGGCAGGCGGAAUUCCUAGUGUAGCGGUGAAAUGCGUAGAUAUUAGGAAGAACACCAGUGGCGAAGGCGGCCUGCUGGACUGGAACUGACGCUGAGGCACGAAAGCGUGGGGAGCAAACAGGAUUAGAUACCCUGGUA